AUACCUUUCUUGGUCUUUUGGCUAAGAUAUAGUGUAGUAUCUGUUUUUAUCAGUUUAAUAUAUGAUAUGUGAACCACACAAUAUUAAAUUAAUUUUUUAAGGGAAAGAGUUCAUUAAGGUAGCUUACUACUUGCAGGGGCGUAUACGGGAGGGGGUCAUCGGGUUCACGUCAACCCAUGGUCCCCUUCCAAAAUCA